rnacentral:sRNA from 16 species
AGUCGUCAUCGGUUAACAAUUUAAAAUUGCUAACGCCAAAACUUUUGCUCCUGCUGCUGAUCCUGUUGCUGC